AGAGUUUGAUCAUGGCUCAGAUUGAACGCUGGCGGCAGGCCUAACACAUGCAAGUCGAGCGGUAACAGAAAGUAGCUUGCUACUUUGCUGACGAGCGGCGGACGGGUGAGUAAUGCUUUGGAACAUGCCUUGAGGUGGGGGACAACAGUUGGAAACGACUCCUAAUACCGCAUAAUGUCUUCGGACCAAAGGGGGNUUCGCCUCUCGCCUUUAGAUGGGCCCAAGUUUGAUUAGCUAGUUGGUGAGGUAAUGGCUCACCAAGGCAAGGAUCCAUAGCUGGUCUGAGAGGAUGAUCAGCCACACUGGGAGUGAGACACGGCCCAGACUCCUACGGGAGGCAGCAGUGGGGAAUAUUGCGCAAUGGGCGCAAGCCUGAUGCAGCCAUGCCGCGUGAUGAAGAAGGCNNUCNGGUUGUAAAGCA
rnacentral:rRNA from 1 species